rnacentral:pre_miRNA from 1 species
AUAAUACCCCCUCCGUCCGGAAUUACUUGUCAUCAAAAUGGAUGUGUCUAGAACUAAAAUACAUCUAGAUACAUCCAUUUCAAUGACAAGUAUUUUUGGACGAAGGGAGUAGUAG